UACGAAGGGGGCUAGCGUUGUUCGGAGUUACUGGGCGUAAAGGGCGCGUAGGCGGCGCACCAAGUCAGGCGUGAAGGCCCUGGGCUCAACCCGGGAAUUGCGCUUGAGACUGGUGUGCUUGAGUACGGGAGAGGAUAGUGGAAUUCCCAGUGUAGAGGUGAAAUUCGUAGAUAUUGGGAAGAACACCGGUGGCGAAGGCGGCUAUCUGGACCGUAACUGACGCUGAGGCGCGAAAGCGUGGGGAGCAAACAGG
rnacentral:rRNA from 1 species